UGGGGAAUAUUGGACAAUGGACCAAGAGUCUGAUCCAGCAAUUCUGUGUGCACGAUGAAGUUUUUCGGAAUGUAAAGUGCUUUCAGUUGGGAAGAAAAAAAUGACGGUACCAACAGAAGAAGUGACGGCUAAAUACGUGCCAGCAGCCGCGGUAAUACGUAUGUCACGAGCGUUAUCCGGAUUUAUUGGGCGUAAAGCGCGUCUAGGUGGUUAUGUAAGUCUGAUGUGAAAAUGCAGGGCUCAACUCUGUAUUGCGUUGGAAACUGUAUAACUAGAGUACUGGAGAGGUAAGCGGAACUACAAGUGUAGAGGUGAAAUUCGUAGAUAUUUGUAGGAAUGCCGAUGGGGAAGCCAGCUUACUGGACAGAUACUGACGCUGAAGCGCGAAAGCGUGGGUAGCAAACAGGAUUAGAUACCCUGGUAGUCCACGCCGUAAACGAUGAUUACUAGGUGUUGGGGGUCGAACCUCAGUGCCCAAGCAAACGCGAUAAGUAAUCCGCCUGGGGAGUACGUACGCAAGUAUG
rnacentral:rRNA from 1 species